rnacentral:rRNA from 1 species
GACGAACGCUGGCGGCGUGCUUAACACAUGCAAGUCGAACGGAAAGGCCCUGCUUUUGUGGUGUGCUCGAGUGGCGAACGGGUGAGUAACACGUGAGUAACCUGCCCUUGACUUUGGUAUAACUUCAGGAAACUGGGGCUAAUACCGGAUAGCAGCUCCUGCUGCAUGGUGGGGGUUGGAAAGUUUCGGCGGUUGGGGAUGGACUCGCGGCUUAUCAGCUUGUUGGUGGGGUAGUGGCUUACCAAGGCUUUGACGGGUAGCCGGCCUGAGAGGGUGACCGGCCACAUUGGGACUGAGAUACGGCCCAGACUCCUACGGGAGGCAGCAGUGGGGAAUAUUGCACAAUGGGCGGAAGCCUGAUGCAGCAACGCCGCGUGCGGGAUGACGGCCUUCGGGUUGUAAACCGCUUUCGCCUGUGACGAAGCGUGAGUGACGGUAAUGGGUAAAGAAGCACCGGCUAACUACGUG